rnacentral:lncRNA from 1 species
AUGGUGAUUUUUUUAAAGAUAGUUUUUGGGCCUGCUCUGAUUCUAUGUUAUUCUCUGGCGUUUUCUAGUGGGCGGACUUGGAGGCUGCUGGCCUGGGAAUGCCAGUGGGUCAGAGCGUGGCUACAGCACCGUGAAAUGGAGCACCUGCCCCCAGUCCUCUCAGCGUGUGCAGGCCUGGGCCUGUGUGGGGGAACCUGUGGCCCUGUCCUCUCUGCUGAGGCAAUCAAGGGUGGUGUCUGGGAGCACACCUGUCCCCUGGCACCUGCCAGGUGUCUGUCAGACCUCAGCCAUUACUGGGCUGCCUCAGCCCUGCACUCCCCCACUGCUGGAUGUGUGGCAGAUGAGGCACUUCACUUCAGUCUGUGUCUUGAGGCGGUGCCCAGGCCUUCCUGCUGCACCAAGGGCUGAUCAAAGGAGGAGUGAUUUCCCUUUAUACUGCAGUUUCCUAUAGAAGCUGUGAUGUGUUUUACCUGGCAGAGCCUCAUCGAGACAUUGCAAGUUUAGCGUCAGUGCAGUUAUACUUGUUGAAGAGUUGGCUUAUGUACAAGUGUCUGCUGUGUAAGUUACUCUAGUAUUAGAGUACUUCGUCAUGAGUGAAUUUUUUGCUCUUCUAGCUCUUCAGUGUUUAUGAAAUAGACAUGUGGAAUAAAGAUACAGGUAUCUUUUAGCUACA